GCGGCCCUGAAUCAAGGUCAGCAACUUGUCGUAGCUCCUGGCUUCAAACAGCGGCCCACAGCAACCUCUUCCAAUGGUCUGUUGGCGUUUCCAUCUGGUUAUAAACGAUGGAAGUCAAUUCCAUUGGAAGAUACAUGU